rnacentral:rRNA from 1 species
GACGAACGCUGGCGGCGUGCUUAACACAUGCAAGUCGAACGGAAAGGCCCUGCUUUUGUGGGGUGCUCGAGUGGCGAACGGGUGAGUAACACGUGAGUAACCUGCCCUUGACUUUGGGAUAACUUCAGGAAACUGGGGCUAAUACCGGAUAGGAGCUCCUGCUGCAUGGUGGGGGUUGGAAAGUUUCGGCGGUUGGGGAUGGACUCGCGGCUUAUCAGCUUGUUGGUGAGGUAGUGGCUUACCAAGGCUUUGACGGGUAGCCGGCCUGAGAGGGUGACCGGCCACAUUGGGACUGAGAUACGGCCCAGACUCCUACGGGAGGCAGCAGUGGGGAAUAUUGCACAAUGGGCGGAAGCCUGAGGCAGCAACGCCGCGUGCGGGAUGACGGCCUUCGGGUUGUAAACCGCUUUCGCCUGUGACGAAGCGUGAGUGACGGUAAUGGGUAAAGAAGCACCGGCUAACUACGUG